rnacentral:lncRNA from 1 species
ACUGCGCCUAUGGACAGCGAUUACGCAAACGCCACAGUUCUUGAGAAAAUCAAAAACCUAGUCGCGACUUUUCGCCGCAGGAAGAGCAACAAAACGAGCUCGCGAUUUCUCUCUCUAAACAUAAAGGGAAACGAUAAAUUUUAUCAAACCCCGUAAGAUUUCGCCCACUACCUAGCUAAAGAAGUCUCAACGCGUAAGGGUUUUAUCUAAAGACGUUUUCCGAAAAAAAAUUGGAAAAAUAAAACUUUCUCUCCCCAAAACCGUGCAAAAACCCUAGGUUAAUCGAGGAAAAAGGGAGCACAACAAAUCGGGUACAUAACUCACCCAUGUACAUCUUCCGAAUAUCUUUCGGAAAAACCCUAGAUUAAUCGGGGAAAAAGGAAGCACAGCAAAUAGGAUGCAUAACUCAUCGCUGUUCUUCUUCCGAAUAUCUUUCGGGAAAACCCUAGAUUACUCGCGGAAAAAGGAAGCACAACAAAUAGGUUACACAAUCCCCCACGGUUGUACUUCUUCCAAAUAACUUUCGUAAAAUUAAGCUUAAACAAAAUUUUAUGAAACAGCUUUCCUAAAACAAAGCUCAUGACAUUUUGCGGACUAACUAUCAUAAAAUUAAAGCUCGACAACUUUUUCCGAAACAGCUUUUGUAAAAUUAAACUCGACAAUGUUUUAUGGAACAUCGUUCGCAAAGUGAAACAAGU